AAUAUAAGCAUGGAUAGAAAAUGAAAUAAUCCCUCUUGUUCUCAAAAACUAAAGCAUAAAGAGAGUAAGAGACGGUAUAUAAUGGUAGCAACCUAAAAAAGCUAUCAAAACAAACAGAAAUGAAGAAUACCCAGAUACCUCUAGGUCCUAAGGCCUCCCUGCAUUCUUUACCAAAAGAUACCCUCUUUGGGCCUGCCUUAACAGCAAUACUCCUCACAAAAUUUGUGCUUCUCCACAACCCAGUUGCCCUUUGGUUCCAAUAAAAGCU